rnacentral:rRNA from 1 species
CUUUCCCUCUUUCUUCAUGCCUUACACAUGCAAGUCGAACGGCAGCACGGGUGCUUGCACCUGGUGGCGAGUGGCGAACGGGUGAGUAAUACAUCGGAACAUGUCCUGUAGUGGGGGAUAGCCCGGCGAAAGCCGGAUUAAUACCGCAUACGAUCUACGGAUGAAAGCGGGGGACCUUCGGGCCUCGCGCUAUAGGGUUGGCCGAUGGCUGAUUAGCUAGUUGGUGGGGUAAAGGCCUACCAAGGCGACGAUCAGUAGCUGGUCUGAGAGGACGACCAGCCACACUGGGACUGAGACACGGCCCAGACUCCUACGGGAGGCAGCAGUGGGGAAUUUUGGACAAUGGGCGAAAGCCUGAUCCAGCAAUGCCGCGUGUGUGAAGAAGGCCUUCGGGUUGUAAAGCACUUUUGUCCGGAAAGAAAUCCUUGGCCCUAAUACGGUCGGGGGAUGACGGUACCGGAAGAAUAAGCACCGGCUAACUACGUG